UACGGGGGGGGCAAGCGUUGUUCGGAAUUACUGGGCGUAAAGGGCUCGUAGGCGGCCAACUAAGUCGGAUGUGAAAUCCCCAGGCUUAACCUGGGAACUGCAUCCGAUACUGGAUGGCUUGAAUUCGGGAGAGGGAUGCAGAAUUCCAGGUGUAGCGGUGAAAUGCGUAGAUAUCUGGAGGAAUACCGGUGGCGAAGGCGGCAUCCUGGACCGAUAUUGACGCUGAGGAGCGAAAGCUAGGGGAGCAAACGGG
rnacentral:rRNA from 1 species